ACCCAUACCAAGAAAGCCUUCUUGAGCAACAGCUUAUAAGAGAAAUGCCGAUGCUUCGGAAUUUGGAGGACUCUGAUCAGAAGGAAGGCGGCUGUACAGGUCAAGAACAAUGAAGAUUCGACAGCUUCUUCCCAGCAACUUCUUUCAAAAAUCCAAAAGUAAAAAGAAGAAACAUUUUGGCAAAUGCAAGGACAAUUUAAAAGAAACAAUUACUGUCACUGAACAUUUCGACCAUGCCGAAGUUUUAGUCCACUCUCGUGAGAACAGUAUAUCAAAUUUGGUGGAUCUUCAUUCAGACUUGGACACUUUGUUUGAAACCCUCCGAUCAAGAGCAAACCGAACGCACGCGACUCAGCAAACUUCGGAGACAGAGUUACAAACCAUAGAACAGAGCGUUGUGACUUAUGAAAAUAUAGGACAAUUCAACAGCUUGAAACCAAGAAUCUCUGGACGCAGGCUACGCAAGUCUGACUCGAGAUGGGACUCUAAGCUCGGACGACGAUGAAAGAAUCGACAUCGAUAAUAUGAACUCUAAUUUGUCAUGCCGAGAAUUUUCGCCAUUGGAGGAAGAUGACAAACCUCAAGAAAUGGAUUUCGCCGUAGGACAGGAAGCGGAAUCUAGUGAACGUACGUUACCGGAAGUGAAACAAAGUCUUCAAGAGAAGAUAAACCAGCUACGUAUUGAGAAAUUAGUCGUGCAGAAUAAGAUUAAGGAGGCUCAGGAGGAAGAAAAAGCCCGGAUAGAGCAGAGGAGGCUUCUGGAGGGUAAAUUUCCAGCGGAAAGAAAAUUAUCAUUGUUCAAAACCCUGAUUGAUCUAAAAGAAAGACUGGAAAACCAAACUAUGCGUAUACAGAGAAGCUACUCAGCUGUAUUAACCAUGAAGAGGAAUUUCUCUCGCCAGAAAACCCCAGUAAUUUGUGUGUCCACCAAAAUUACGUUAUAGGGAGUGAAUCGGAAAUUUGAAGGUUUUUUAUUAAUUUUGAACUUAUUUAUAAAUGUUUUACAAACAAUAAAUUAUCUUUUCCUUACUACCGAAGACCGCUUAUAUUACGUACGGUGAAACCGUAUAUUGAUUGCAGGUGAAUGUUUAUUUUGUAAAGACAGAUCUUUUACUUUUAGUGCUUGAGUUUAGAAACUUCUUUGUAACAAUGUUGUAAUUGCAGUUUCUUCAUUAGUUUUAAAAUAAAUAUAUUAUUAUAC
rnacentral:misc_RNA from 1 species